rnacentral:rRNA from 1 species
GUGGGGAAUCUUCCGCAAUGGGCGAAAGCCUGACGCAGCCAUGCCGCGUGAAUGAUGAAGGUCUUAGGAUUGUAAAAUUCUUUCACCGGGGACGAUAAUGACGGUACCCGGAGAAGAAGCCCCGGCUAACUUCGUGCCAGCAGCCGCGGUAAUACGAAGGGGGCUAGCGUUGCUCGGAAUUACUGGGCGUAAAGGGCGCGUAGGCGGACAGUUUAGUCAGAGGUGAAAGCCCAGGGCUCAACCUUGGAAUUGCCUUUGAUACUGGCUGUCUUGAGUACGGGAGAGGUGAGUGGAACUCCGAGUGUAGAGGUGAAAUUCGUAGAUAUUCGGAAGAACACCAGUGGCGAAGGCGACUCACUGGCCCGUUACUGACGCUGAGGCGCGAAAGCGUGGGGAGCAAACAGGAUUAGAUACCCUAGUAGUCC